rnacentral:rRNA from 1 species
UACGUAGGGCGCAAGCGUUGUCCGGAAUUAUUGGGCGUAAAGAGCUCGUAGGCGGCUUGUCACGUCGGGUGUGAAAGCCCGGGGCUUAACCCCGGGUCUGCAUUCGAUACGGGCUGGCUAGAGUGUGGUAGGGGAGAUCGGAAUUCCUGGUGUAGCGGUGAAAUGCGCAGAUAUCAGGAGGAACACCGGUGGCGAAGGCGGCCAGCUGGGCCAGGUCCGACACUGAGGCGCGAAAGCGUGGGGAGCAAACAGG